AACGAACGCUGGCGGCAUGCCUAACACAUGCAAGUCGAACGAGACCUUCGGGUCUAGUCGCGCACGGGUGCGUAACGCGUGGGAACCUGCCCUUAGGUUCGGAAUAACUCCCCGAAAGGGGUGCUAAUACCGGAUAAUGUCUUCGGACCAAAGAUUUAUCGCCUUUGGAUGGGCCCGCGUUGGAUUAGCUAGUUGGUAGGGUAAAAGCCUACCAAGGCGACGAUCCAUAGCUGGUCUGAGAGGAUGAUCAGCCACACUGGGACUGAGACACGGCCCAGACUCCUACGGGAGGCAGCAGUGGGGAAUAUUGGACAAUGGGCGAAAGCCUGAUCCAGCAAUGCCGCGUGAGUGAUGAAGGCCUUAGGGUUGUAAAGCUCUUUUACCCGGGAUGAUAAUGACAGUACCGGGAGAAUAAGCUCCGGCUAACUCCGU
rnacentral:rRNA from 1 species